AUUGGGCAGGCAAUGCCUUUUUCAGCAAAAUCUCUACAGCCGCGAUCUCAUGACAGAGUGGUUGCCCUGUGAACGACGUGCAAACGCCUAAAGCAGAAGAGGGGCUGGAGUCCAGCAGAGUGAGCGAGCAGGCGCAAACAGCAGGACCUGGCAUGAGCAGCAAGGAGAGCAGUCACCAGUAAUGAUGCAUGGAAAAGGGGAUGGGACCUCACUGAAUGCAACACCCCAUCUCCAAAUCACCAUCGGGAGCGGUUAACUUGAUCCUGGUCACAACAGCUGGAUGCGUCAGGAAAUCCUGGGUGUCAAGAAAUGAAGUCCUUUCUUUUGACGAGAUCACGGGGGACUGGCCAGCAGCCAGGCGCAAGGCGCUCUGCAGCUCGCCCGCGCCGCCUUACUCGGCCCCAUGCUUCCCCCAGGGCGCUUCUCUCGCGUGUAUUUCUGGGCGCCACAAAAAGAGGGUUAGAUUUUUCUUCUGCAUGAUAUUUUAGUCUGCACUACACUCCGGAAGAGCCAGUAACUUCUCCGUAAGACCUGUCGCAGUCUCUGUGUAUAAAACCCCCUUUGUUGGGGGGUGUGUGUGUGUGUGUGUGUGUGUGGUUUGACUGAGCCGCAUGAUCAGAGUCAGGUGACAACAUUGGGCACAAGAACGGAGCAGAAUAAGCAGUGAGACCUCGGAGAUUAGCUGCCGAUCUUGCCUUCUGAGAAGCUGUGCUGCUCCUCGGGGAACGAUGCGUGCCUGGCCCUCUCCUCUGCUUUGGAGCUUAACCGCGGCAUGGCUGACACAGCCACCCGAAUGCGGCCGGCCCACUUGCUGCGGUGGCCCGGCACGCACACCGGCUGGAACGGCACGGAAACGCCGCUGGCGCCGGGAGAAGUGGCUCUGGGCGCGCGCGCUCGCCCGGCCGGAGUCGCCCCGCUGCUCUGAAAGGAAAACCUGACGCAACCUGGAGUUCUUCUUGUACUACGUGCUUCAAAACCUGUAUUGCUUUAGGCCAGACAACCACUACGCAGGUCCCUAUUGCCCCAACACCAGUGCCUCCCAGUGCAACGGCCACCCAGGUCCCUAUUGCCCCAACACCAGUGCCUCCCAGUGCAACGGCCACCCAGGUCCCUAUUGCCCCAACACCAGUGCCUCCCAACACAGCUGCUGCCUCAGCCUCCGCACCCCCAGUUCCUGCUGCGACACUCUCGGCUGGAGUGGUGUCCACCACGCCAAACCUUGCCGCAUCCACGGGAGCGCCGUCUACUGACCCAAGCGUGGGAACAUCAGCUCCAGUUUUGUCCACCACCCCAGAGGCAACAGCGCUCACUUCUGGAAGCGCGACCACCUCUCGCAAGCCCAGCGCAGCGCCCACCAGUGCCCCGUCCUCCCCUCUGGCUGUGACGGUGUCUCCCAGCGUCCCAUCGGCAGCUCCGUUCCUCACCACCUCAGAGCCCUCGGGCUGCGGCAGGGUGAACGUGACAGCGUGUGAACACUGUUCCCCAGGGACGUUUCCCAACGAUGGCACCCUGAGCUGCUUGUGCUGCUCGCGGGGCUCCUGCGCGGGCCCUGCUGACUGCGUCCCCUGCCCGGUGGGUCACUACCAGCCCCUGAGCGGCCAACAGUCGUGUCUGCCCUGUCCGCAGGGGUAUUACGCCAGUUUUCGGAAGAGCACCGCAUGCUCUCCCUGUCCGCCUGGCUCUUACACUAACGAGUCUGGGGCUGCAGCUUGCAGAGCCUGCCAGCAAGGGUAUUUCAGCUCACAGCAAAAUGCAGCUUUUUGCCUGCCUUGCCUGCCUGGAUCAUUUUGCAACACCACCGGCUGCACCACGUGUCUGGCUUGCCCUGGUGGGACGGAGGCUCUUCGCAAGGCAUCCGAGGAGUGCACACCUUGCCUCCCAGGUAUGUUCAAAGGUCCUGAAGACAACAGAUGCAAGCUCUGCAAGGUGGGAGAAUACCAAUUACAGCAGGGCAAGGAGAGCUGUGACCUGUGCCCAGAACAUUACUACUGUCCUAGCCCAGAUGAGAACCCGGUCAAGUGCCCUGCUGAUGCCUUCUGCCCUGCCGGCAGCACUGAGCCCGAGUAUUGCAUGGAGGUGUUUCUUUACAAGGCAGGAGACUCUUGCCAGUUGGCCCCUCUGAUGAUCAUCCUCCUGGCCCUUUUCACAGCAGGGGGAAUCCUUGCUGUCUUUCUGAUAAUUCUGAAGAGAAGGCAAGAAUAUAGGAAGAAAUCUUUGAAGUCUCUACUGUUACCAAAAGGAUCAGGACAACACACAACGUAUGGUGUGAUGGAGCACACAGAACCAGUAUACACUGGUUGGUAG
ensembl:lncRNA